GCUCCUGCAAGAGUGAAAUGCAUGUGCUUUGGGACAGUGAAGAUAAUAAUGUUCACAAAGUCCGUACACUUUACUCAUUAGGAGAG
rnacentral:pre_miRNA from 1 species